rnacentral:rRNA from 1 species
GUGCCAGCAGCCGCGGUAAGACGAACCUUGCUAACGUUAUUCGGAAUUACUGGGCUUAAAGGGUGCGUAGGCGGCGUAGAAAGUUGGGUGUGAAAUCCCCCAGCUCAACUGGGGAACGGCGCCCAAAACUUCUGCGCUAGAGGAAGAUAGAGGUACGCGGAACUUAGGGUGGAGCGGUGAAAUGCGUUGAUAUCCUAAGGAACACCGGUGGCGUAAGCGGCGUACUGGGUCUUAUCUGACGCUGAGGCACGAAAGCUAGGGGAGCGAACGGGAUUAGAUACCCCAGUAGUCC